rnacentral:tRNA from 1 species
GGGGAUGUAGCUUAGUGACUGAGCGCUUACCUAGCAUGUGUAAAGCCCAGGGUUCAAUACCCAGCAUCACUA